CAAGAAUCAUUUGCAUUACCGUGAGCUGUUUAUAACUUCUACCCACAGAGAGCUGUAAAAUAGCCCAGCUGAUUGAAGUCAGCCAAAGGUACUCAUCUUGGUAAGAGUAGGUAAUCCCUGGAGAUCCACGGGAUAAUACACAGUACUCCAGGGAGAGGACACCCAGUGCUUGGCUUUGUUUGUUUCCAAGUCUUUGUCAGUUUUUGCUGACACCACAAACCCUCCUCUGGUUUCCCUGGUGACAGGGCCGCCUGACUCUCUCCCUUCUGUUUCUCGUCUGUCCUUACGGCAUAAGCUCCAUGUCCAUCUUCCCUCUGGGCUCUUCCCUUUGGUUCCAAAGAGCUUAUUGUAGAAGUUAAAAAAAAAAAAAAACAUACAGUAAAGAGAUUAGCAUAAUCCUAAUUAUCCUCUAGGCAAUGCAGAAAAGAAAAAAACAUAAGGAUAAACAUAUUGAGAUUUGCUCUUGCUCCAGCACAAUUCCCUGAAAGACUUCUUCUAAGCCUGGUAUCCUGGGAGUGGCAGUGUUUUCAGCGUGGCAGACGGAGCAGUCAGGAAGCUGGGAGCCCAAACAGCAUGAGACAAAGCCGCGAAACAGAGGCCGUGCAUCUGUCGGUUGCCUCUCUCUGGUCACCCUCCUCUAGCCACAUAGUGCCGGUGCUAUGUGCCAGACAUACUCCAAUGAACAAGAUCCCUAGAGUAUCUGCUCUACUUUGGCUUAAAUCCUCAGGGAAGGGGCAGAACUAAAGAUGGAGCCCAUUCCUGAUGGGCUGUGGGCCGCCUAUGGAGAAAGUGCUCCAGGUGCCUGUGGUCCAUAGAGUGGAGUGAGUCUCUAAGCAAAUCUGGAGGGACUCUGGGAGCUGAAGAUUCAGAAUAUCUCCACUUAUUCUUGCCGCAGCCUUUGCUGCUCAACUGUUGGGUGCCAUGAUCGUAUGAGCUGCUCCCUUCCUCAGCCUUUCCUGGCUCCUUCCAUGAGCCCACUGAUCUGUGGCAGCAUUUUAACAGCCUUGGUCCAUCUAUUUGUAGAGAUGUUAGCAUGAGACACACAAGGAUCUGGAAACUUUGAAGGAGACUGAUACCACAAUGCAGGAACCCUGUAAGGAUUCCAGGGAGGUAACACACACCAAGGGAUCGGCAUUUAAAUUAUCACUCUUCCUCUUCUUUUUCUCAAUCAAUGAGAUUUGUAGACAUUUUCUCAUUUUAAAUAUUUAUAUAUAUUGAUAGGGCACAAUGGCCCCAUGAGUUUGAUAUUAUAAUCCCCUGCCCUCUUUUUUCUAGUAAUGCAUCGGAGCAUCAGACUUUAAGUCAAUGAUUUGAACCCAGUUCUUCUUGGCUUCAAAGCCUUGGGGCACAAUCACUCCAUUGGACCACUAGGUACCUGCAACUCUCUGCUUUGGACUUCUCCUGAGCUGCAAACCCAGGUAUUAUUAGAGCACCAUCAGUGAUAGAUUUUCAUGUAUAUGCAUGUGUUUCUACCCAGCAGUGCAAUUAAUGAGCCCUUAAGGGUAUGUGUGUAGAUGACAUGUUCUUUACUCCCUAGGAACAAUGUAGAAAGC
ensembl:lncRNA